AUUCAUCAAAUCUCUUAAAGCUUGGCGGUUUCAAAGGCUAACCAACAACAUGGGACCUGCUCAAUCGUUACUUGUGUUUUAUAACUCUUGUUGUUUUGAGUCUUUGUUUUGAGUCCGUGAACGUUGCCUACUACUCUAAGUUUAUCAUCAGUAGGUGCUCUUGGUUCCCAUUUUGUAAACAUGUCAUCUACGGUUAGUUGACAAAGAGCUAGAGUAGUUAGCUUUUUGAUUCAGUUAGAGUUGUUGGGUCAGUGUGCGAUAGAGUUCUUGCACUAAGUUUAUUGUAAUAGAGUUAUUACAAGUCCAAGAAGGAUUAGGAGUUUAAUCCUUGAUGUGAUGUAGUCUGUAUUCAAGGUUGCUUCAGUAUUAGUGAAUAAGCUGAUGGAAAUUAUCUUGUAGGCAG
rnacentral:lncRNA from 1 species